GACGAACGCUGGCGGCGUGCUUAACACAUGCAAGUCGAACGGGAUUUAGUAGACAGAAGCCUCGGCUAAAGAUUACUAAUGAGAGUGGCGAACGGGUGAGUAACGCGUGAGCAACCUGCCUAUGACAGUGGGAUAGCCUCGGGAAACCGGGAUUAAUACCGCAUAAAAUCGUAGAAACACAUAUUUUAACGGUCAAAGAUUUAUCGGUCAUAGAUGGGCUCGCGUCUGAUUAGCUAGUUGGUGAGAUAACAGCCCACCAAGGCGACGAUCAGUAGCCGGUCUGAGAGGAUGAACGGCCACAUUGGAACUGAGACACGGUCCAAACUCCUACGGGAGGCAGCAGUGGGGAAUAUUGCACAAUGGGGGAAACCCUGAUGCAGCGACGCCGCGUGAACGAAGAAGGUAUUCGUAUCGUAAAGUUCUGUCCUAUGGGAAGAUAAUGACAGUACCAUAGAAGAAAGCUCCGGCUAAAUACGUG
rnacentral:rRNA from 1 species